rnacentral:rRNA from 1 species
AUUGAACGCUGGCGGCAGGCUUAACACAUGCAAGUCGAGCUGGGGAGGUUGCUUCGGUAACUGACCUAGCGGCGGACGGGUGAGUAAUACUUAGGAAUCUGCCUAUUAAUGGGGGACAACAUCUCGAAAGGGAUGCUAAUACCGCAUACGCCCUACGGGGGAAAGCAGGGGAUCACUUGUGACCUUGCGUUAAUAGAUGAGCCUAAGUCGGAUUAGCUAGUUGGUGGGGUAAGGGCCUACCAAGGCGACGAUCUGUAGCGGGUCUGAGAGGAUGAUCCGCCACACUGGGACUGAGGCACGGCCAGGACUCCUACGGGAGGCAGCAGUGGGGAAUAUUGGACAAUGGGGGGAACCCUGAUCCAGCCAUGCCGCGUGUGUGAAGAAGGCCUUAUGGUUGUAAAGCACUUUAAGCGAGGAGGAGGCUCUUUUGGUUAAUACCCAAGAUGAGUGGACGUUACUCGCAGAAUAAGCACCGGCUAACUCUGUGCCAGCCGCCGCAGUAA